AGUUAACAAAAUCCCACAGGAGUGUAUGUGGAUGGGCCCUUGGCAGGAGCUGUCAUCUUCAGUUAAGGAAUAUAGCCAACCUGAAGAGCCUUCAUAGGAAGGGAGCUGGGAAUAAAUAUCCCAGUCCUACUCUCCUCCCUCCCAACCACCUGCCUUGGGCUGUCUUUAGGGGAAUGCAUUAGGAAGUCUGAAGGCCAGGGCAUCUAUCAAUGCAGUUCAGAUGGCCCAGCUUCCAGUGCAGAAAGCAGGGUUACAGAAAGGUAGGGAAUGGGUCUGGAGGAGCCAAAGGAGGGCAUCAGUGCAGGCCCCUGAACAGCUUAGUACAAAUCUGACCCUGUGUACCCUCUGCUGGGUCAGAGUGCAGCUCCUCUGCCCUGCUCACGCCUUCUAUGCUAGUGACCCCUUCUGCUCCUUUUCUUCUCACUCCACAUACCGUCUGUGCACAGGCUCAUCUAUCCCAAGGCUUUGAGUACCACUCACUCGCUGACCACUCCCAAAUCUCUGAAACUAGGACACUGAGCUCCAGACUUCUGUAUCCAGCUGCCAUCUUGGUAUCUCCUCUCCAAUAUCCCACAGGCCCCACAAACUCAACGAGCCCAAAACCAAACACAUUUUCAUUCUCUAAUAUACUUUGUAUACCUUCAUUGACUUCAAGACAAUUGUCAUGACCUCCUUGAGGCUUUGAAACCAGCCCUUCUCAGUUACAAAGGUCAAAAUCAGUUAUGGAGAGAACAAGUAAAAGUAAGUAGGUUUGAGAAGAGUUCCAUUUUCAUAUAAAUUUGAGUGGUUGUAAUAUUUGCCCUGCAGUGCCACCACUCUGUUUCCCUGAGUGGGCAAGAUGGAGUGGAGUCACAGCUUGGAUGCAGCAGCCUAGACCGAAUGAGAGAUACUGAGAAGUGCCCUGCACAAUGUCUGGUGACCACAAAGGCCAUUCAAUAAAUGUCAGCUGAACAAAGGACGGAAAUGGAAGGAGGAAAGGACAGAAAUGGAGAAACCGUUAAAUCCUGGGAUGCAGAGGCUGUGUGAUUCUCUCUGGGUACUUUUAAGACCUGAAUAAGGCCUGUUUCAGAAGACCUGCAUCAUGCAAAUGAAUGGUGACUCACCUUGGACUCCUCACAUCCAGCUGAUAAAUGUUUCCAUCCUGUGUCCCAGCCAAUAGCAAGAAGCCAGAGAGAAAAGUGCAGCAGUUGAAGGCAUCUGAGCCAACAAAGAGGAACACCUGAAAACAAGCAGAAGCCAAAAGUGCUGCUUAAAGAUUAAUUUGUUUUCAGGAAUAAAUAGGCACCAAAAAAAAAAAAAAAAAAAAAAAAGAAAAAAAGAAAAGUUUCCCAUUUUUUUAAAAUAUUUUUUUCCUUUAUUUAUUUAUGAUAGUCACAGAGAGAGAGAGAGAGAG